UUUCCCUUUCAGUCUGGUAACAUGACGGCGGCGCCUCUUAUGCCAGACUCAACGCACCCCUGUCGCAGAAGGAAGAGCUACACUUUCUUCUGGUGCUCCUUGGGCGUCUAUGCUGAGGCCCUUCUGUUUCUGCUGUCUCAUUUAUCUGAUGCCUGUGAACUACCACGGCCAUUUGAAGCUAUGGAACUCAAGGGUACACCUAAACUCUUUUAUGCCGUUGGAGAGAAAAUAGAAUAUAAGUGUAAAAAAGGAUACCUGUAUCUGUCUCCAUACCUGAUGAUUGCUACCUGUGAGCCAAAUCAUACAUGGGUCCCUAUUUCAGAUGCUGGUUGUAUUAAAGUUCAAUGUACUAUGUUACAAGACCCUUCAUUUGGCAAAGUAUACUACAUAGAUGGCAGCUUUUCAUGGGGUGCUCGAGCUAAAUUUACUUGUAUGGAAGGUUAUUACGUAGUUGGUAUGUCAGUUCUACACUGUGUGCUUAAAGGUGAUGAUGAAGCAUACUGGAAUGGCUAUCCCCCACAUUGUGAAAAGAUUUAUUGUUUACCACCUCCAAAAAUAAAAAAUGGAACACAUACCCUUACUGAUAUAAAUGUAUUCAAAUACCAUGAAGCAGUAAGUUACAGUUGUGAUCCUACCCCAGGGCCAGAUAAGUUUUCCCUUGUUGGAACAAGCAUGAUAUUCUGUGCUGGCCAUAACACCUGGAGUAACAGCCCUCCGGAGUGUAAAGUGGUAAAAUGUCCAAAUCCAGUACUACAAAAUGGAAGACUGAUAUCAGGAGCUGGCGAAAUAUUUUCCUAUCAAUCAACAGUGAUGUUUGAGUGUUUGCAAGGAUUUUACAUGGAAGGCAGUAGCAUGGUGAUCUGUAGUGCUAAUAACUCUUGGGAGCCAUCUAUCCCAAAAUGUCUUAAAGUCACUUUUUAUUGACCACAAGGGAAAGAUGUGCAUUAGAAAGCAGCAGUAGCAGCCUGUACCAGUGGUUUACGGUAGGUCUGAUGGUGUGUGAAAAGUGGAGAGAUUAUGAUGCUGUUUGUAUGGUAUCUGACUUGUUAGGAUGCAUGUUUACCUUAAAUACAUUCUUUUUUUUUAUUAGAUAUUUUCUUCAUUUACAUUUCAAAUGCUAUCCCAAAAGUUCCUUAUACCCUCCCCCUGCUCCCCUACCCACUCACUCCCACUUCCUGGCCCAGGCGUUCUCCUGUACUGGGGGGAUAUAAAGUUUGCUAGACCAAGGGGCCUCUCUUCCCAAUGAUGGCCGACUAGGCCAUCAUCUGCUACAUAUGCAGCCAGAGACAUGAGCUCUGGGGGGUACUGAUUAGAUCAUAUUGUUGUUCCACCUAUAGGGUUGCAGACCCCUUCAGCUCCUUGGGUACUUUCUUUAGCUCCUCCAUUGGGGGCCCUGUGUUCCAUCCUAUAGAUGACUGUGAGCAUCCACUUCUGUAAAGCCUCACAGGAGACAGCUAUAUCAGGGUCCUUUCAGCAAAAUCUUGCUGGCUUAUGCAAUAGUGUAUAGGUUUGGCGGCUGAUUAUGGGAUGGACCCCCGGGUGGGGCAGUCUCUGGAUGGUCCAUCCUUUUGUCUUAGCUCCAAACUUUGUCACUGCAACUCCUUCCAUGGGUAUUUUAUUCCCUAUUCUAGGGAGGAAUGAAGUAUCCAUGCGUUGGUCUUCCUUCUUGAUUUUCUUGUGUUUUGGAAAUUGGAAUAUAUUCUUUUUAUAAUUUAUUUUUAGUUACUUUAUAGGAUUUGUAUUUGUAAAAUACAGAUACAAUAAACAUUCUUGUACUCUUGUCUGUGAAAUUAUAUAUGUAAAUCAAACAUUCAUAAGCAAAAUCUCUAGAAGUAUAAUUAUAAAGAACAGGAAGUAUGUUUAUUUUUACUUUUUGAAAAUUUUAAUAUUAGAAUUAAGUCCAUAAUUUUGUUUUAAUAUGUCAAAUGAAUUGAUAGACUCCAUUUAUUUUUCUAGGUCCUAGGCCUACUCAUCCUACCAAGCCUCCAGUUUAUAAUUAUACAGGAUAUCCUAGUCCCCGUGAAGGAAUAUUUAGCCAAGAAUUAGAUGCAUGGAUUAUUGCUUUGAUUGUUAUUACGUCAAUUGUUGGAGUUUUUAUACUUUGUCUCAUUGUGCUCAGGUGUUUUGAGCACAGGAAGAAAACAAAUGUAUCUGCAGCAAGAUGAAAAUCUCAUGUGUGGAAGUCAUUACUGUUCCAUUUUUGAAAACUGGAUCUUCAAGUCUGGCAAACGCAAAAUUAUAUAUUUGCAGGAGCUUCAUUUGUGCCCCUGCAGCUCACCAAGGGUUCUCAGUAUCCAACCAUGAGUGCCUGUGUACUAAGCAGAAUGUUCUGCCUGUGACAUGGUAUUUGCAGGAAGAAGGUCACAUUUCCAAGCAGACACCAAACCCUGUCCAGUUGGAGCUCUUAUCCCCAUGCCUCACACUUUCACUGCACAUAAUGGCUGUGAAUUAACCACAUCUGUGCCUUCCACACUCAGUCUGUCACCUGAAAUGCUUAAUAUUCUCUCUAAAUCCAUGUACCUCUAACGCCAAUGCAUGUCCUACCAGUCCUGUGAAGCUCUAACUCCUCAGGUUCUUUAUCUUUAUUGGUUAGCCUUAAGUUAGCCACAUUUAAGAGUCUGUAUACAUGUGCCUAAUAGGAGAUGUAAUUUUCAUAUCACUUGAACGUAUUCAUAGGUCUCAAAAAACAAAGUAAAACCUGUGUAACUAAUAGGACAUGAUGAUUUUUAUGUGAAAAUAAAAAUGUGACAGUCAACUCUCCAUAUAAAGAGGAUAACAGCUUAAAGAAAAUCAGAGUUUAAUUCUACCUAUUAAAAACCAAAUUUUCAAAGACUUGAACUUAAAGUUGUUCAUGGGUUGGGGAUGAAGCUCAGCAGAAAGCUUGCUCAGCAUGUACAAGACCCUGAAUUCAUUCCUUAGCACUGGGAAGAAAACAGUCAUUAACAGAUUAUUAACUGUUUGCUUAAAAGUAUUGAUGUCUGUCAAAAUAAGCAAUGAUAAAUUGUAGUUUUAAAAUAUGAUAUAGUAAUGUUUAUGAACAAUAUAAACACAGAAUGAAAAUUGCAUUGACUAAGCAUUUUUAGAAAAUUAACAUGAGACUCUAGCAUAUUUUUAAUUGGCAUAAAAUAUACAGAAAGGACUUUUACAGUAACCAACAGUAAAUUGUCUGAAUUAUGCUAGAAAGACUCAGGGGCAAAAAGAACCUGAAUAUUCAUCCUAAUUUUAAGGUUUAAGGGAAAUAAGCAAUUCUACCAGAGAGCUAACAUUUUAACCAAGACUGGAUUUUUCAUAGUUUAAUAAUUUGCCUAUUUAAGAACAGAAUUGAAUGAAUCCAAUACACAACUAUUCUUCCUUAUGCAUCAGUAUGCUUAGGCUCUCUAGGCUCAUCCUGAGAUUACCCUAAAAUGAGCUGUCAGCCUUUGAGAUCAUAGCACUGCUGCCCUCCUGUGGACUGUUUAAGUAUCUGACAGUCUUCUGCCUCUUCACUGUGACAUUGUCAUUAAUUUUAUUUUAGAUCAGGUAGAACAGUAGCUCUCUUCUGCUUUUGUGAAGGUAGUAAUUAAUUUUUUUGUUCCUCACUUCUUAAAUAUGGGGGAUAUAUAAUACUUGGUGGAACAAGUGAAUGCAUAAUUUCCCUUCUUGCUUGUUUACAUACAGCAGGUGAACAUAUUGCCACACAGACAAUGCUGAAAAACUAUCCACCUUGAUUCCCGACAUGACUGGACAAAACCCAGUAAAACCUGAGUACAGGUAUUAAGACCAAUGUGAGGAAUAGCUCUGAAAACUGUUGUACAUUGCAAUGCUGAACCACUAUAAACAGGAACUCUAGUGUUUGGAGUUCAUUGGGAAUUUAGGGCGUAUCUAAUGCUUAGUUGAACAUAUUAAGUAUGGUGCUUGGAAAAAAUUAAUCUGAUUACCUACCUCCACCUGCAAUGCCUACUCAAAAAAAAAUUAAAUCUGUACUCGAGGUGAGCUUCAACCAUGAAGAAUUCCUUCUGUAGGCUCCCAUAGCAAUCAAUAUACUUCUCAAACUGAUGUGCAGGUUAACCACAUUGUGAUUUUGUUAAAAUGUGAUGACUGAUUAGAGAAGACAUUGUGGCCACAUCGGCAAAAUGAGAUCCUGCUGGCCUUUGAAGCUUGAGGGAAAGAGCAAGGCAAAGAACACAGCCUGUUUACAGAAAGAAGCAAGACAACUACUUUUCCUUCAUAUUUCUGAAGCGUUUGUGUCUGAUAGUACCUUGAUUCUAAUCCAGUGAAAAUGUUAUAUUUCUGCUAUUCAGACCUGUUAAGAAUGUUGUGUGUGUUAAGAUAUCACAUUUGUACUAAUUUGUUACAGUACUGACUUGAAAUUUAUGCACUAACAUAUUAACUGGCAGCACAUAACUAUGACCAAAAUAGUAUGGUCUUUUCAGAAAUAGAGAAGUGGCUCUCAGCCUUGGCUCUACAAUAGACUCAUCUGAGCCCCAUUCUAAAGCCAGCUAAAAUAGUAUUUGCUUGCAGGAAUGGGACCUGAACCUGAGGAUCACUCUUUUGGUGACCAAAGCCACAGUAAUGUGGUACUGAGGUAGAAUGUGCCCCAGAUCAAACACAGAUUUAUCUCCGGCUUCCCUUAAAAGUAUGUUAAUAUCAAUGUGCUAUCUAUUCCUGAGACUAUAUGCCAGCUUCCAAACAGAAGGCCUAGACCAACUUCUUAAAGAUGCUAGGGACUAAACUUAAUUCAUUUGAUCUACUAAACUGGUUGCAGAUCUUUCUUCCCCCAGUUAACAAAAAUACACUGUAUUCACUUCUAAAAAGUCUGGUAAGGCUUAAUUUUAAAAAACUAAUGCUUUAACAAAAGUCUUUAUACCUGGGUUGACAGCAUGGUUUUAUAAAUCUGAUUCAGGAGGGUGCUGUUAAAAAAAAACCUACAUUACUAGCCAAUUAUGAAAAAUUAUCCCAGAGUGACAAUUUUAUGUAAAGGGCUAUAAGCAUCCAGAUAAAAAAUAACUGAGAGGUGUUCUGGUUUCAAUUUGCUUCUCAGGACAUCAGGAUAUGGCAAAGUUUAAGUAUUCAAUGAGAAUAUUAUGAUUUUUCUAAAUGGAAAUAAAUUUUAAAUCAUU